AACGAACGCUGGCGGCGUGUUUAAGACAUGCAAGUCGCACGGGACUAUUUGAGUAGCAAUACAAGAAUAGUCUAGUGGCGCACGGGUGAGUAACACGUGAAUUACAUGCCCUGCAGAGGGGGAUAGCCCAGGGAAACUUGGAUUAAUACCCCAUGGUAUCGCGAGAUUAAAGGUGGCCGCAAGGCUGUCGCUGCAGGAUUGGUUCGCGCCCUAUCAGCUUGUUGGUGAGGUAACGGCUCACCAAGGCUACGCCGGGUACCUGGUCUGAGAGGACGAUCAGGCACACUGGAACGGAGACACGGUCCAGAAACCUACGGGUGGCAGCAGUCGAAAAUAAUUCAAAAUGGGGGCAACCCUGAUGGUGCAACGCCGCGUGGAGGAUGAAGGUCUUCGGAUUGUAACCUCCUGUCAUCCGGGAGUAAGACCUGGCGAUGAAUAGUCGACAGGGUUGAUAGUACCGGAAGAGGAAGGGACGGCUAACUUCGUGCCAGCAGCCGCUGUAA
rnacentral:rRNA from 1 species